rnacentral:rRNA from 1 species
UACAGAGGGGGCAAGCGUUAUUCGGAAUUAUUGGGCGUAAAGAGCUCGUAGGCGGUCUGUUGCGUCUGCUGUGAAAACUCGGGGCUUAACCCCGAGCCUGCAGUGGAUACGGGCAGACUAGAGGUAGGUAGGGGAGACUGGAAUUCCUGGUGUAGCGGUGAAAUGCGCAGAUAUCAGGAGGAACACCGGUGGCGAAGGCGGGUCUCUGGGCCGAUACUGACGCUGAGGAGCGAAAGCCAGGGGAGCGAACGGG